GGGAAGGGCGGAGCGGACGCUGCCUCCGCCUCCUCCCGGUCGGAGUCCCAGCCCCGCCGAAGGGAGCUUGGCCGGUUGGCUAAGGAGGGCACGGCGGGCUGCGGAGGAACGGGGGGCUCCACUGUUCGCAGUUCAUGGUAUUGUCUCUACUGAUACGUGAUUACUGAGAUGACUCCAACAGUAAAUGGGUGUUCAGUAACCUGAAGAAGUAUCAAUGCAAGUUCUUAUCCUAAAGCCUAACACUUAGAGGAUCAGCAUUCUAUUCUGUAGUAUUCAUUAAUGAAAGUCACAUCAUCCUGCCUCAGUAGGUGGCUUGGCCCUGUGAAUAGUUCAAGACUAUUGGAUGACUACACUUUAUGCAAAACCUGGAAUCUUCCUGCCUGGACUCCUUUCCAUUUUCUAAGGGUAACUACUUGUAUGUUCUUAUGUGCAUAAUGCAAGUUCUGAUAAUCAGCUGUAGAUGUUAUUUUUGUAGUUUAGGAUGGUAAUCUGAAAAAUAAGAAUGGGGUAUGUAAUAUAAAGUGAAAUGCUUUAGGCUUACUGAAUAGGAUAAACUCUUUGAUUUGCAUAUUCUGAAUUUACCUUCCCCCCCCCUUUAUUAUAACGUAUUAUAAUGUCACAAAG
rnacentral:lncRNA from 14 species